ACAACAUUCGGACCGUCGAUCUAUGGAACAAUAUCACCCGCUCGGUGAAAGAUCUUCCUUUUGUAGU
rnacentral:pre_miRNA from 1 species